rnacentral:rRNA from 1 species
AACGAACGCUGGCGGCAGGCUUAACACGUGCAAGUCGAACGCAUCCUUCGGGGUGAGUGGCGGACGGGUGAGUAACGCGUGGGAACGUGCCCUUCAGUUCGGGAUAACCCAGGGAAACUUGGGCUAAUACCGGAUACGUGCGAGAGCAGAAAGAUUUAUCGCUGAAGGAUCGGCCCGCGUCUGAUUAGCUAGUUGGUGGGGUAAUGGCCCACCAAGGCGACGAUCAGUAGCUGGUCUGAGAGGAUGAUCAGCCACAUUGGGACUGAGACACGGCCCAAACUCCUACGGGAGGCAGCAGUGGGGAAUAUUGGACAAUGGGCGCAAGCCUGAUCCAGCCAUGCCGCGUGAGUGAUGAAGGCCUUAGGGUUGUAAAGCUCUUUCGUCCGGGACGAUAAUGACGGUACCGGAAGAAGAAGCCCCGGCUAACUUCGUGCCAGCAGCCGCGGUAA